GUAGGGAAUAUUGGACAAUGGGGGGAACCCUGAUCCAGCCAUGCCGCGUGGAGGAAGACUGCCCUCUGGGUUGUAAACUCCUUUUAUAUGGGAAGAACCGUCCUCAUUAAUGAGUGACCUGACGGUACCAUAGGAAUAAGCACCGGCUAACUCAGUGCCAGCAGCCGCGGUAAUACGGAGGGUGCAAGCGUUAUCCGGAUUCACUGGGUUUAAAGGGUGCGUAGGCGGAUAAAUAAGUCAGUGGUGAAAUCAACGGGCUCAACCUGUUAACUGCCAUUGAUACUGUGUAUCUUGAAUAUGAGAGAGGUAGGCGGAAUGUUGCAUGUAGUGGUGAAAUGCUUAGAUAUGCUACGGAACACCGAUUGCGAAGGCAGCUUACUAUUUCGUAAUUGACGCUGAGGCACGAAAGCGUGGGUAGCGAACAGGAUUAGAAACCCUGGUAGUCC
rnacentral:rRNA from 1 species